rnacentral:lncRNA from 1 species
AUGGUGCCAUGCAACACCGUGCAGUGGGGGUCGCUGUCCCACACCUCACUGACACCCAGCUCCUGGCUGUCCUUCACUGAUGAGCAGCUCUCAGAUGUCACAAUUAUGUUUCAUACACUUUGGAAAAUUCAGCGGUGGAUUUAUUAUAACUGUCUCCAAAGGUUAUUCCAAGAAAACAUCUUGUAUGAGAUUUCCUGGACAAAAAGGAAUCAGUCAGCAAGAUGAGUAACACAACCCUGUCAGUCAGAUUGGUAUCUUUAAAAAGCUGUAAAAUUUUGUUAAACUUGUGAAAGGCGACAGUUGUUCUUCAGCUUCAACAAAGGCCUUGGUGUUCUGAAGUAACCAGAAAGAAUACUGGAGCAGAUGUCUCAGAGAUAUUGCUGUGGUAAUAAAUGGAUAAUAUGACUUUUGCA